UUCCAUUUCGAGUCGUAUGCUGCAAUCCCUUCCCGCCCAGCCGGUUGAACAUCCACAACUGUAUUCGCCAUCUUGCAGAGUGCACAGUCCGUGGCGACUGCAUCCACCCUGCUCGCAGGUUCCGUGUGGUCCGCAAUCGAGGCCACAGCUUGGUUGUGAACAAUCUACACCGGUCCAGUGUCCCUCGCAGACGCAACUUCCGGAUUCGAGGUCGUACGUGCCGUGGUCAGAGCAACGAGGCAGACAUUGGUACACCUGCUGGUCGACCUGGUUACACCUUUCACCCUGCCAACCUGCUUUGCAAUAGCAUUUACCAGCAACGCAGGCGCCGUGACCACUGCAGUUUGGAUCCGAACAAUCAGCUGUAAUUUAUUGUUAAUUACAUUUAUUUUACAUUAACACGAGGCAUCUUCCGGUCUGUCGACGGUGAUUGCGCCCUGGGCACCGACGAAUGGACCAACUUUUUAAAUUAUGGCAUCGGGACAAUUGCAUUAUUCCCGCGGAUCCCAGCUGCCCCGGGGAAAUUAUGAAACUUAAUUCCGAAGCGUCCUGGCGGCGCGAUGCACGCUGCCAUUCGCGUCGUAUGGGACCGGUUAUAAGCGAUCUCUCAGUAUUUGCCGACUGAUAUAUUGGUAUGUUUACCGCUACGAUACAUUGGUAUUUUUAUACAGAGUGAAGCAAUAAGGAAACAGAUUAUUCUCAGAAAAAUCACAUUAGCCUUUUCUUCUUUUUUGUUUUUGUUUUUUUUUUUUAAAUAAAAAGAUGCGUAGCAAUGGAGAGGCAGCUUCAUUAUUUAAAUUGUGUAAGAUGUUCUAUAAAUAUGAAGACUGCAGGGGAAGAACAGUUUUUUUCAUUUUACUUAUAAAGUUUCGUUGAAAUGAAGAUAUCAACAAGAAUGCAUUUUAUCAUGUUUUUGGUUGGUACUAUAGGAAGCGAAGAGUAGAAUGAUGAUAAUAAUCAUGCAGUAAACGUUAAUUAUGCCUUUUUGUGGAGCUGUAAAAGCUACAUGGUACUCCGUGAAAUGUAAUUAACAACGCUGAAGUACACGAUAAAAGCGACUUCUAUGUGAAGUGAUAAUCGACAUUAUUGCAGAGGACCAAUGCAAUUGUGUGUAAAGAGACUCGCGUUAAAAUUACGCGACACGUACUCUUUCUACCUAUUGAGGCACCAGUUUGGAGGGUAAAACUAAUCUACGAAGUUCGACCAGUUUUGGAAACUGUUAUUAAUAUGAACGCUUAAAAUAUUCAAACUUCGUUAAUGACAUAUACCAGAAAAAGCCACGAGUGUGUCAUAUAGUUGCCAUUGAUAACAUCGUGAAAUAAUUAAAAGCAUUAAUGAGCGAUUCAAAAUAAAAAGCAGUUUCAUUUGUGAGAACAAAGUUAUCGGGCAACCUCCAU
rnacentral:misc_RNA from 1 species